rnacentral:tRNA from 1 species
GGGCAUGUAACUCAGCGGAUAGAGUAUCAGAUUCCGGUUCUGAUGGACGUGGGUUCGAAUCCCUCCUUGCCCG